rnacentral:rRNA from 1 species
UACGUAGGUGGCAAGCGUUGUCCGGAUUUACUGGGCGUAAAGAGCGCGCAGGCGGUCGAGUAAGUCGAAUGUGAAAGCCCCCCGGCUUAACUGGGGGAGGGUCAUUCGAUACUGUUCGACUUUGAAGGCAGGAGAGGGCAGCAGAAUUCCCGGUGUAGUGGUGAAAUGCGUAGAUAUCGUAAGGAAGACCAGUGGCGAAGGCGGGUCUCUGGACAGUUCCUGACGCUGAGGCACGAAGGUCAGGGGGAGCAAAACGGGG